CGGAGAAUGCUUUGUUUUUCUUAAUACUUUAUAAAUACCCAGAGAUUCUUCGACACGAUGUCGAAGGAAGGCGCCCCUGAGCCAGGACGGCGAAUGGGCGCCGGUCUCGUACGGCAUCAUAAAACAUGCUAAAGUAUUUAGAAAAACAAG
rnacentral:ncRNA from 1 species